CAAGACGUAGCUUAAACAAAAGCAUUCAGCUUACACCUGAAAGAUAUCCGCUAACCACAGAUCGUCUUGA
rnacentral:tRNA from 3 species